rnacentral:misc_RNA from 1 species
GUGAAUCAUCGAAUCUUUGAACGCACAUUGCGCCUCCUGUUACAGGGAGGCAUGCCUGUCUGAGCGUCAUUUAAACUCCAUACUGGAACCCUAUGGUGACGGUGUGUUGGGCCUUCGUCGAUGUAAUGUCUACGUGGCCUCAAAGUCAUUGGUCUAAUUGAGCGGACGAGAUCCAUUAGGACAAAGACCGUUUAUGAGACCUUAAAUCCCCCUCUGAAUUUGACCUCAGAUCAGGUAGGACUACCGCCUGAACUUAAGCAUAUCAAUAAGCGGAGGA